CCUACGGGUGGCAGCAGUGGGGAAUAUUGCACAAUGGGGGAAACCCUGAUGCAGCGACGUCGCGUGAGUGAUGACUUCUUUCGGUAUGUACAGCUCUAUCUGCAGGGAAGUAAAUGACGGUACCUGACCAUGAAGCCCCGGCUAACUACGUGCCAGCAGCCGCGGUACUAUGGAGGGGGCAAGCGUUAUCCGGAUGUACCGGGUGUAAGGGGAGCGUAGUCGGCGGUGCAAGCCAGAUGUGAAAGUCUGGGGCUCAACACCGAGACUGCAUUUGGAACUGGGCGGCUGCCGUAUCGGCGAGGCAGGCGGAAUUCGUGGUGUAGCGGUGAAAUGCGUAGAUAUUAGGAAGAACACCAGUGGCGAAGGCAGCUUGCGGGACGAUGACUGACGUUGAGGCUCGAAAGCGUGGGUAUCAAACAGGAUUAGAUACCCUAGUAGUC
rnacentral:rRNA from 1 species